rnacentral:rRNA from 1 species
UACAGAGGGGGCAAGCGUUGUUCGGAAUUACUGGGCGUAAAGGGCGCGUAGGCGGCCUUCUAAGUCGAACGUGAAAUCCCCGGGCUCAACCCGGGAACUGCGUCCGAUACUGGAAGGCUUGAAUCCGGGAGAGGGAUGCGGAAUUCCAGGUGUAGCGGUGAAAUGCGUAGAUAUCUGGAGGAACACCGGUGGCGAAGGCGGCAGUCCUGGACCGGCAUUGACGCUGAGGCGCGAAAGCCAGGGGAGCAAAGCGGG